UACGAAGGGGGCUAGCGUUGCUCGGAAUUACUGGGCGUAAAGCGCACGUAGGCGGCUCUUUAAGUCGGGGGUGAAAUCCUGGAGCUCAACUCCAGAACUGCCUUCGAUACUGAAGAGCUCGAGUCCGGGAGAGGUGAGUGGAACUGCGAGUGUAGAGGUGAAAUUCGUAGAUAUUCGCAAGAACACCAGUGGCGAAGGCGGCUCACUGGCCCGGUACUGACGCUGAGGGUGCG
rnacentral:rRNA from 1 species